CAAAGAAACAGCGUCCGGGAAGUGAGCACUUCCCGGACGGUUGCCGAAAAAAUAUAUACUUGAAAAUUUUAAAAAGUAAACAUUUCGGGAACACCCCGAUCGACUUGCUUCGACAUCACAGAAUACAGGACCGUUAGCUUUUGUUUGAUGUAUGUCGAAUGUUCACCCCAAUUUAAGCAUCUGUCCAAAGUGACACCUAGGUACUUAGUACUGGUCUUAAUUGGUACUGCGUGGCCCAGCAGUAGCAAUGAAGCUGGAUCAUUGCCGGUUUUUUAGAAGCAGAAAAAUCAUGCAAUCAGUUUUUUAUUUGACACCAGUUGGAAACGGCGGUUAUUGCUGAUUGUGCUGAUGAUAUUGCAGAAUUUAUAUUUUCUUCUCGAAGUUAUUAUGUCCGUAUCAUCGGCGUACAUGAUAACUAAUUCAAUAUCUUGGAAAACAUAAGGAAGAUCAUUUAGGGGAAAUGCGAACAAAAUGACAUACUGUUUUGUUUUUCAAUAAUAUAUUUUUAGUUUUUGUAAAAAUACUCCCAUUUUUGUGUUAAAUACUGCAAAGUUCAAAAAUAUGAAGGUUUUGGUUCUCAAGGCAGUAGAAUACGAUGUAUAAGCCCAGUGAAAACACCGCAUGCACCAUACCAACUCCUCACCAGGUAUAUGAAACGAAAAAAAACGUCAUUGCAAUAAAUGCAGGGGCAGUCAUCGACAUCUUCAUUGUAAUUUUCAAUUUGAAACGGUUCAGUGUCGAAUUCUUCAUCUUCAACGACUUUUUAUUUCUCAACGGCCUUGUUUUUUUUUUACCACAUGGUUUUUUCAUCAUUGAAUACUGUUUCAGUAAUUUCUUGUUUCUUCUUCUUGCAAUUGCAUUUGCGAGCUUUUGGCUUUCUUAUUAUGCCUUGUCCCUGAGGAAGUGGUGAAAACUGAAAAUAACAAUCCUCACUCUUGUUUUUAUACAUUAAGGAUGUUACUGAACAUCCUGGUACAAAUGAAAAUGACAUCGCGUAUUCUAAGAUUUUAUCACAUAUUCAAUUUCUUUUCCGUCCACUUCAAACAUAUAAAAAGACUUGGUAGGUAUUUUCUGCGAUAUUUGAAGAAGUUUGGCCAGCUGUAGACAUAUUUUGUCUACAAUAAGCUACAUUUGCAAAAUGCGUAUUGAAGGAAUUUGCACGCAUUUGUGGAUCAACAUUAAUUCCUAAUUUGGAUUUAAGUCACCUCUACCCGUUAAACGAUUAACAAAUUGCUAGACCGUUCUGGAUUCAUUGACCGAAUCAAUAAUCAUGUUACGGAUAUGUUUUUGUUUAAUUUUUUUAAGAUUUUCCUCGUAACGUAGCUUUUCUUUUUUAUGGUCUUCGAAAUAAUCAGCUCCACAUCUAGAAACAGUGGAAAGUAUAUCCAGUCUUUUUUCGCGAUUUGUAUCUGUGGAUACUUCUUAUAAAUAUUUGAACAUUUUAUUCAUUCAUCAUUCUUAUUACAAACGGAAAAUUCUGAUCGAAAUACACUUAUAUCGCCCGAAGAAUUCCUUCCAACAGAGUUUCAGAAUCACCCGCAUCAAAACUCAAAAUAUCCUGCCAUUUCUGCCAGUUUUCCUUUAUUCAAAAACAUGGAUCGAUUAUCGUGCAAACCUGCAUCUUAUUUUGGAAUUAAUUUUUUCCAAAGGAAAGGAAAAUUUCUGCGACAUAUGAUUAGAUAAUUGCGAGGCAAUAACACUUGUCGUCUUGUUCUAAGUUCGUCAUUCUAAUUAUUGUCAUUGCAAGUAGCUGAAUUCGUAGUGAUACGUGCGUGUUCGCGAAUCAACAAUAUUAAUGCAAUACCUGUUUCCUUGUUGAGAAACUUUGUCAAUUUUUAUUGAAUGUUCUGUCCAAGCCAACGAAUGAUACUGAUGAACUGAAAAAAUUGAUUACCGAUGACAUCAAGACCCAGAUGGAACCAGAAUCGAAAAUUUUUUAUUCAGACAGUAGUAAAGCUAGUAGAACUCAGUCCUCUACAAACAACCCUCUGUCAGUAUGGCAAAAUUUAAUUGGAAGUCCUAUUAGCAACAGUCAAUCUUUAAAUGCGGUUGAAGGUAUGCAUCCAGUCAUGGUGUUGGGAAUGCAUCAAGCGAUAGUGAUACCUUUAAAUGCUCUGCCAAGUAUAUUCCAGAACAUGAUGACAGGCCUAUUCAAUACUGAAAAUUCAAAUCAACAACAAAGUGGUAAUUUGACACCAGGUCUACCGAAUAUCAUGGGAUGAAUAUCUUUUUCAUCAAUGAAAAUUUGAUUGAUUUAAUGAAUAAAUAAAUAUUAAAAUAAUUUCAACCGAAUCACUCAAAUAAUAUAUGCAAUACGAUUUCAUUUGAAUCUUGAAUAAUUUCCCAUUAUAUU